CCUACGGGUGACUGCAGUGGGGGAUAUUGCACAAUGGGGGAAACCCUGAUGCAGCGACGCCGCGUGUGGGAAGACGGUCCUCUGGAUUGUAAACCACUGUCCCCAGGGACGAAGAUGACGGUACCUGGGGAGGAAGCUCCGGCUAACUACGUGCCAGAAGCCGCGGUAAUACGUAGGGAGCGAGUGUUGUCCGGAAUUACUGGGUGUAAGGGGAGCGUAGGCGGGACUGCAAGUAGGGUGUCAAAUCUACCGGCUCAACCGGUAGCCGCACUCGAAACUGCAGGUCUUGAGUGAAGUAGAGGCAGGCGGAAUUCGUAGUGUAGCGGUGAAAUGCGUAGAUAUUAGGAGGAACACCAGUGGCGAAGGCAGCCUGCUGGGCUUUUACUGACGCUGAGGCUCGAAAGUGUGGGGAGCAAACAGGAUUAGAUACCCUUGUAGUC
rnacentral:rRNA from 1 species